rnacentral:rRNA from 1 species
UACGUAGGGUCCAAGCGUUGUCCGGAUUUAUUGGGCGUAAAGAGCUCGUAGGCGGUUCGGUAAGUCGGAUGUGAAAACUCAGGGCUCAACCCGGAGACGCCAUCCGAUACUGCUGUGACUCGAGUCUGGUAGGGGAACACGGAAUACCUGGUGUAGCGGUGAAAUGCGCAGAUAUCAGGUGGAACACCGAUGGCGAAGGCAGCACUCUGGGACGUGACUGACGCUGAGACGCGAAAGCGUGGGGAGCAAACAGG